rnacentral:rRNA from 1 species
AUGACCCGCUCCUCGUCCUCGAGCACCUCCUCCAAACCUCGAGCUCUGGAGACGGCGGUCGAUGACCCGCUCCUCGUCCUCGUGCUCCUCAUCCUCGAGCACCUCCUCCAGACCUCGAGCUCCGGCGGCGGUGGCGUGGGAAAGACAACCAGGGCAUGGGGAAGACGAAGACUUGCUCCAGCAGCUCGUCUUGCUCCUCGAGCUGGCGGGCUGAUGAUGGAGGACCUGCACUCUUGGCUCCACCAGCGCCGCCGCUGCCGCUUCUGCUUCUGCUCCCCGCUCGCCUACAGCGCAGGUCUGUCUACUGAAUUUACAGGUGAUGUCUGUCUGUUGAAGCAAUCAGGUGACCUGAUUUUUUGCAGCGAUUGGUUUGUGCAGCGAUUGGAGGAGGAAUGGGGUAUUGCAGAGGAAUGGAUGCUGCUUCUUUUGGUGCAGGGCAAUGGGGCUGCAGGGAAUUUGGGUGCUGAGGGUUCUUCUGUCAGGAGGAAGCAUGGUGGUGGUGUACAGGGGAUAAUUCCCAGUUUGUUUUGUGAACUUCACAUUCCAAAGGAGGGACAGAAGAGCAGUCUACCUGACAACUAUACAUGCUCAUUUCCUAGAACAGGAGCAGCAGCAGCACAAGGAGCAACUCCUUACAGCACAGUUUUGGAGUACACUUGGUGUAAAUCAACUUCACUAAUUUUCAGGAAAAGUACCUGCAGCCAACAACAGCAGCAGAGGCAAUCGCCGACAGCAGCAACAGAUGCAGUCGCCAACAGCAGCAGCAGGUCCGCGCGGAGUCGAUCAGGCGGGCUGCAGCGGUGGCAGUAG